rnacentral:rRNA from 1 species
CUUGCUGGGUGGAUUAGUGGCGAACGGGUGAGUAACACGUGAGUAACCUGCCCUUAACUCUGGGAUAAGCCUGGGAAACUGGGUCUAAUACCGGAUAGGAGCGCCUACCGCAUGGUGGGUGUUGGAAAGAUUUAUCGGUUUUGGAUGGACUCGCGGCCUAUCAGCUUGUUGGUGAGGUAAUGGCUCACCAAGGCGACGACGGGUAGCCGGCCUGAGAGGGUGACCGGCCACACUGGGACUGAGACACGGCCCAGACUCCUACGGGAGGCAGCAGUGGGGAAUAUUGCACAAUGGGCGAAAGCCUGAUGCAGCGACGCCGCGUGAGGGAUGACGGCCUUCGGGUUGUAAACCUCUUUCAGUAGGGAAGAAGCGAAAGUGACGGUACCUGCAGAAGAAGCACCGGCUAACUACGUGCCAGCAGCCGCGGUAAUACGUAGGGUGCGAGCGUUAUCCGGAAUUAUUGGGCGUAAAGAGCUCGUAGGCGGUUUGUCGCGUCUGUCGUGAAAGUCCGGGGCUUAACCCCGGAUCUGCGGUGGGUACGGGCAGACUAGAGUGCAGUAGGGGAGACUGGAAUUCCUGGUGUAGCGGUGGAAUGCGCAGAUAUCAGGAGGAACACCGAUGGCGAAGGCAGGUCUCUGGGCUGUAACUGACGCUGAGGAGCGAAAGCAUGGGGAGCGAACAGGAUUAGAUACCCUGGUAGUCCAUGCCGUAAACGUUGGGCACUAGGUGUGGGGA